UCAGAUGCAAGGUGCUCUAUUAUCAUUGCAGCUUUCCGGCAAACUUCUGGAACUGGAUGCGGAGUCUUUAUCACUUUCAGUAUACGAUCAACAGCCCUAAAUUGGGUGAACAUAUGUACACAAAUAAGAUAGCCCUUUCAGCUGUAAACUUUAAUAAAUAACAGGACUAUGCAUUAUCAUCACCAUGCUAUCAUCCAUACUUCCAAAAAGAAAUAAUAACAAUAAUAAUAACUUACCAUCUGUCACUAGCAAGCUUCAACCUGCAGUCCAUAUUGACAUCGACAAGGUUAUAGAGUGCACCAAUGGCAGCAGCUUGGGCAUCAAAUGCCUGCAAGCUCAAAAUAUCUACUAAACGCUUGUAAAUCUG
rnacentral:lncRNA from 1 species